rnacentral:rRNA from 1 species
GUGGGUGAUCUGCCCUGCACUUUGGGAUAAGCCUGGGAAACUGGGUCUAAUACCGAAUAUGACCAUGCGCCUCCUGGUGUGUGGUGGAAAGCUUUUGCGGUGUGGGAUGGGCCCGCGGCCUAUCAGCUUGUUGGUGGGGUAAUGGCCUACCAAGGCGACGACGGGUAGCCGGCCUGAGAGGGUGACCGGCCACACUGGGACUGAGAUACGGCCCAGACUCCUACGGGAGGCAGCAGUGGGGAAUAUUGCACAAUGGGCGCAAGCCUGAUGCAGCGACGCCGCGUGAGGGAUGACGGCCUUCGGGUUGUAAACCUCUUUCAGCACAGACGAAGCGCAAGUGACGGUAUGUGCAGAAGAAGGACCGGCCAACUACGUGCCAGCAGCCGCGGUAAUACGUAGGGUCCGAGCGUUGUCCGGAAUUACUGGGCGUAAAGAGCUCGUAGGUGGUUUGUCGCGUUGUUCGUGAAAACUCACAGCUUAACUGUGGGCGCGCGGGCGAUACGGGCAGACUUGAGUACUGCAGGGGAGACUGGAAUUCCUGGUGUAGCGGUGGAAUGCGCAGAUAUCAGGAGGAACACCGGUGGCGAAGGCGGGUCUCUGGGCAGUAACUGACGCUGAGGAGCGAAAGCGUGGGGAGCGAACAGGAUUAGAUACCCUGGUAGUCCACGCCGUAAACGGUGGGUACUAGGUGUGGGUUUCCUUCCU